rnacentral:rRNA from 1 species
UACAGAGGUCCCAAGCGUUGUUCGGAUUCACUGGGCGUAAAGGGUGCGUAGGUGGUGAGGUAAGUCGGAUGUGAAAUCUCCGAGCUCAACUCGGAAAUGGCAUUGGAAACUACCUUGCUAGAGGAUUGGAGGGGGGACUGGAAUACUUGGUGUAGCAGUGAAAUGCGUAGAUAUCAAGUAGAACACCAGUGGCGAAGGCGAGUCCCUGGACAAUUCCUGACACUGAGGCACGAAAGCUAGGGGAGCAAACAGG